rnacentral:rRNA from 1 species
AAUAGAUACCCGGGUAGUCCACGCCGUAAACGAUGAGUGCUAAGUGUUAGAGGGUUUCCGCCCUUUAGUGCUGCAGCUAACGCAUUAAGCACUCCGCCUGGGGAGUACGGUCGCAAGACUGAAACUCGAAGGAAUUGACGGGGGCCCGCACAAGCGGUGGAGCAUGUGGUUUAAUUCGAAGCAACGCGAAGAACCUUACCAGGUCUUGACAUCCUCUGACAACUCUAGAGAUAGAGCAUUCCCCUUCGGGGGACAGAGUGACAGGUGGUGCAUGGUUGUCGUCAGCUCGUGUCGUGAGAUGUUGGGUUAAGUCCCGCAACGAGCGCAACCCUUGAUCUUAGUUGCCAGCAUUUAGUUGGGCACUCUAAGGUGACUGCCGGUGACAAACCGGAGGAAGGUGGGGAUGACGUCAAAUCAUCAUGCCCCUUAUGACCUGGGCUACACACGUGCUACAAUGGAUGGUACAAAGGGCUGCAAGACCGCGAGGUCAAGCCAAUCCCAUAAAACCAUCCUCAGUUCGGAUUGUAGG